AGUGAACGCUGGCGGUAGGCCUAACACAUGCAAGUCGAACGGUAACAGGUCUUCGGAUGCUGACGAGUGGCGAACGGGUGAGUAAAACAUCGGAACGUGCCUAGUAGUGGGGGAUAACUACUCGAAAGAGUGGCUAAUACCGCAUGAGAUCUACGGAUGAAAGCAGGGGAUCGCAAGACCUUGUGCUACUAGAGCGGCCGAUGGCAGAUUAGGUAGUUGGUGGGAUAUAAGCUUACCAAGCCGACGAUCUGUAGCUGGUCUGAGAGGACGAUCAGCCACACUGGGACUGAGAAACGGCCCAGACUCCUACGGGAGGCAGCAGUGGGGAAUUUUGGACAAUGGGCGCAAGCCUGAUCCAGCAAUGCCGCGUGCAGGAUGAAGGCCUUCGGGUUGUAAACUGCUUUUGUACGGAACGAAAAGCCCCGGGUUAAUACCCUGGGGUCAUGACGGUACCGUAAGAAUAAGCACCGGCUAACUACGUGCCAGCAGCCGCCGCGG
rnacentral:rRNA from 1 species